CCGUAGAGAGUUUGUAGUCCUGGCUCAGGAUGAACGCUGGCGGCGGUGCCUAACACAUGCAAGUCGAGCGAAGCGCUUAAGUCAGAAUCUUCGGAGGAAGACUUUUGUGACUGAGCGGCGGACGGGUGAGUAACGCGUGGGUAACCUGCCUUACACAGGGGGAGUAACAGUUAGAAAUGACUGCUAAUACCGCAUAAGACCACAGUACUGCAUGGUACAGUGGUAAAAACUGAGGUGGUGUAAGAUGGACCCGCGUCUGAUUAGGUAGUUGGUGGGGUAAUGGCCCACCAAGCCGACGAUCAGUAGCCGGCCUGAGAGGGUGGACGGCCACAUUGGGACUGAGACACGGCCCAGACUCCUACGGGAGGCAGUAGUGGGGAAUAUUGCACAAUGGGGGAAACCCUGAUGCAGCGACGCCGCGUGAGCGAUGAAGUAUUUCGGUAUGUAAAGCUCUAUCAGCAGGGAAGAAAAUGACGGUACCUGACUAAGAAGCCCCGGCUAACUACGUG
rnacentral:rRNA from 1 species